rnacentral:rRNA from 1 species
UUUAAGGUCUAAUCUGCCCACUGAUUAUUUGAAGGGCUGCAGUACUCUGACUGUGCGAAGGUAGCAUAAUAAUUAGUUUUUUAAUUGAAAGCUGGAAUGAACGAUUGGACGAGAAAAAAGCUGUCUCUGUAUAAUUUACUUAGAAUUUUAUCUUUAAGUUAAAAAGCUUAAAUAUUUUUAAAAGACGAGAAGACCCUAUAGAAUUUUAUAUAUUAUAUAUAUCGAGUUAAUAGAAUUAUUUAUGCGAUUAUGUGGAAGUAUAUUUUGUUAGGGGAGAUAGGGAAAUUAAAUAAACUUUCUUUUUUCUAAAAUCAUUG